ACACAGCUGAAACAUUCUGUACUAUUUUAACAUGUUAUUUAUUCCACCGUGGCAGUUGUUCAGAGCACAUUUGUAAGCAUGCGAAAGUAUCGGAACGUCCUUAAAUAGCAAGAGAACACAGCUGAAACAUUGUAAUUUUAAGUAUGUAAUUUAUUCCACCAUAGUAGCUAUUAAGGGCACAUUUUUAAGCGUUUAAACGUCCCUAAUAGGCAGAGCAUGCCGUUUUUUUGCUGCAGGAUGGUUCCUACUAGGUCUGCUAAUGGGACCGCCCUCCUGACUGGCUGCCUAUAAAGUCACCCGCUCUAGCGGUGCUGAGCAGCGAGAUGUCACAGAGAAGAGUGUGUCCAGUUUGUCGGCGUUUCUACACCAACGUGCAGGCUCAUCUCGCCCAGAUUCAUCAGCAGGGUCCAGAGGAACGCUGGCUUCACCUGGCGGCAGCGAGCGAGCGGGUGAUAUGCGGGUGCUCUGGACUGCCCGGUGUCUGCAUGCGGCAGGAAAGGUUUCCGCCGGCUAGACUGCCACCUGUUCCACCUUCACCAGCUCGCCGGGGACACGGUCAGGAAGCUACUGCUCAGCGCCAAAAUAAAGCUGCAACAACUGCAAGCUUUCGGUGAGACGAACAAAUCUAAAAGUUGCAAAUGUUCUGAACUGAUCGAAAAGUAGCAAAACUCUCCGCAGAAUUUGAACGGCUGCAAGCGCUAGUAGCCCGGAAAGAGUAGUGGCUCUGUGGGUGAGUACCUAAACUAUCUCUAGGCCUAUUUUUAUUGUGUGUGGGCGGCGGACUCCAGGUGGUCGCCCGGGGUGGACGUCCCAGGAUGAAAUUUGUUUUUCUUUCACUGAUCCCCCCCCCCUUUUUUUUCUCUUUUCCAGAGCCAAUGUUAAGUGUACACGGCUUGGCUGACAAGUCUCAGAGAUGUCCCCAAAGCCGCGGCCAACGGCAAGCAGGAGAGGAGACACGUCGAGCGCUUCCUUCACUUUAUGUGGGCCAACACAGACAGUCCCCUGGCAGCUGCUGGCUCAUUACCCAAAAACACUUAAAAUUUAACAUAGAAGCCAAUACUCACAUCAACCUCUGAACCCAGUUGGAGAUAGAAAAAAAGACACCAGCCGUGAGUGAGAAGAAGCAAGGGUCCAGAUUUAUUGUUCCGUUCCACCACACGAGAUCCACACCAAUGAGAAUUCUCAGAAGUGAUCUGAUACCCUGAGCUUAAGCUCCAGUAUUUAUACUGUAAUUACACAGUAAAUAACCCAUAUGUUUCAAGAAGACUAUGAUCUCACUACCAAUAGGGUUAAAAAAGAGCUAUUCAACUUACCAUUAGCUCAAAAAACAGGGCUUUUCAACUUACAAAUAUAAUCAAAACCAGUAGCUUGACUCAGCUACCCUUAUAAAUGGCUCCUCAUGGUUUUCUCUUAAAAUUAAGGCCUUCCUUGCGAGACAAGAAUCUUCACCAUCUGAAUUAUGAGUGCCCAUCGUCAUUCCUUCUUCUCCCCUUUACUGGAUCUGGAUCUGGACACUCAUUAUCAGCUUGCGCAUCUAACUGCUGAUAUCAUGGUGCUACUUAACUAUCUUCGCAGCACCCCCUCUGGAAAUGGAAAUGCGGGGUGUCCCCCCCCCCGAUACAAAAUCUGCCCCGUGAACGUGUGUAUUGACGCCUCUACACAGCCAAAACCCCCCUCCAGCUUUCAGUCUGAGGAAGAUGUCACCUUCUCUGACCUGGUCCCCGACCAUUCUUCCCACUUCUCACCUGCCAGUCCGCCCCACUCUCAGUGGUCCUCUCACUUCACCUUUGCUGAGUUUCCCAUGUCCCCAGGACGCACCCCAUUUUCUUCCCCCCACCACUCUCCUCAAGAUUACGCACCCACCAGUCCUGUGAAUUAUCAAUAAAACUACAUAUUACUCAUACUAAGUGUCCCUCAUGUUUAUUUCAUGUCAUUUUUAUCCACAACACAGCCCACCUGAAGUACAUCGACAAUGUCUCGAGAGUCCUUGAAUGGAUGAAAUCAUUGUGCCAGCGGUACAAGGUCACUCCGGCCAAGGUAUUUCUGACGUGUGUUUCCAAGUUCCUCCAUUAACUUGAUGAGAGGCUGUCCGAGGGCCGAGUUGGCUCCACGAGGCUGUGGAGUCUCCAGAGACUGCUGCAGUGGGAGUGCAGACAUCUGUCCGGUCGAGUCGUGCUCCACAGGCAAGGCGUGCGAGCGGAGAAGAGUGAGGGAGUACUUACAGCUCCUGCACGGCAAACUGUCGGACGCUGUCCCUGUUUCACUGGCUGAUCUGAACUCGUCCAGCAGACCCGGACAUGCUCAACCGUUGCAUCGGGCUGCUGUGUGCUCACUUCUUUUCGGUCAGCAGACAGGACCGGAGUCCUGCAGAACCUCACUACUGAGGAGUUUGAGAACCUCGAGAAGGCUGACUCUUUCUGAUCAAUGUGAAGCAGCACAAACCUGCCUCUGCUUUUGGACUCGCUAAGCUAGCCGUCACCAAGCUGGAGCUGAAGUGGCUGAAAGCUUUCUGCCACCUGAGGAAGCAUAUGCCGGGAUAUGAGACUUCUGUGGGGUGGCUUUUCUUUUCUGGCACACAGGCCAGGAUUUCUGCGCAUGUCAAGCUUGCCCUGCGGGCACUCGUGGGAAGAGACAUCACUGUGUCGGACAUCCCCACAGCUCUAGCAACCUACGUAAGCAUGAUUAAAAUGUUUUUUAACAAAUUCAUUCCAAUGUGUUAAACGUUAAAGUGAUAGAGAAAUGUCUCCUGUUCACAGUGCGAACGCAAAAGAUGAACAACGCAAGCUCGUGACCAAGACGAUGUGCUACAGCAAUUAGCUGAGUCGUGGAGCUGUCGGUCAGCGAGGCGCACUCCGCCCAGUCUGCGCUAGAGUCCGCUGCGGGCAUAGGUGCUACAUAGGCCGGUUGUUUUUGGCUAAUGGCCCUGUGUGUGUGUGUGUGUGUGUGUGUGUGUGUGUGUGUGUGUGUGUGUGUGUGUGUGUGUGUAAAUAUUUCAUUAAAAUGUUUGAACUGAAUUCCCAUUGUCUUAAUAUUUUGACAUGUCCAAAAGUACAGUAGCAUCACUCACGGCGAGACCACACAGCCGAAAUUUCCGAAAGUACAUGGACUGAGCUCUGGGCGAAGUUCGCAGGCUUUGCCCAGGGAGAGAGUGUCAUCCUGGGCAUACACUCGUGAGCUCCAGGCUGAUCACUGCUGAAUUUUUUCCUCGUUGAUUUCAAUGGUUUAUGCGUUCCUAGUCAGGACAAGCUACUGUUUGUUGCACCUCUUCCAUCCUCCUCCACGGUCUGAAGCCAGCUGCAGCCACCUUUUCAUCAGCGUCACAAUCUCAGCACUUGUUGCCCUUGAUG